UACGGAGGAUCCGAGCGUUAUCCGGAUUUAUUGGGUUUAAAGGGUGCGUAGGCGGCCUGUUAAGUCAGGGGUGAAAGACGGUAGCUCAACUAUCGCAGUGCCCUUGAUACUGAUGGGCUUGAAUGUACUAGAGGUAGGCGGAAUGUGACAAGUAGCGGUGAAAUGCAUAGAUAUGACACAGAACACCGAUUGCGAAGGCAGCUGACGAAACUGUAACUGACGCUGAGGCACGAAAGCGUGGGGAUCAAACAGG
rnacentral:rRNA from 1 species